GGUAUUGCAGGUAAAGAAGAUAAUUACUGGCUUCGAGGCGGAGCUAAAUUUUGUUAAGUUCCUUGUUUUGCUGAGCCCUUCAUACAUUCUUCCUUGCAGUCCACAAGGCCUAACUAUGGUAAUAGCGAUGAUGAUUAACUUGCUGAGAACAGCAACCUGGGAGACUGUGAGGCUGGGUUUAGGCUACACGAGGAGCGACCACCUGAGUGAGGCACAGCACUGCUUUGAACAGCUGGAACAAACAAGUCGUGCAGCUGGCUGACUCACAGAGAUUUAUCCUGCACACUGCAAGUCUCUGGAAUAUUCAGUGUGGGUGUCUGAAGCAGAUGCAAUUCCUCAUGACUAUUUUCUUCGCUCUCGCAAACCUGGAGGCCAUUUUGCUGCUUUUCUUUUCUUACGAGCAGACAAAAUGGUGAUAGUAUCUGCAAUAAAUGGUCUCUUUCCUAUAA